rnacentral:tRNA from 1 species
AGAAAUCGACUUGGGGAUUGCGGUUGCUGAACAAAACGUAAAAUUGCCGAUGUCAACGGAAGAUUCGGGCUCAUAGCUCAGUUGGAAGAGCGCCGCCUUUGCGAGGCGGAGGCCGGGGGUUCAAAUCCCCCUGAGUCCACUGGGCAGGGAGCAUCUUUUCCUGCCUUCGAUGCACCCGGAGAUGCAAAUCAUCGGGGAAGGGCUGAAGGUCUUUGACCUGACGAAGCUGUGUAUAGGUGCGUACUCUGGACGUUAAAUGAGUUCAGCGGAAC